UACAUAGGUGGCAAGCGUUGUCCGGAAUUAUUGGGCGUAAAGCGUGCGCAGGCGGUCUGUUAAGACCGAUGUGAAAUCCCCGGGCUUAACCUGGGAACUGCAUUGGUGACUGGCAGGCUUUGAGUGUGGCAGAGGGAGGUAGAAUUCCACGUGUAGCAGUGAAAUGCGUAGAGAUGUGGAGGAAUACCGAUGGCGAAGGCAGCCUCCUGGGCCAACACUGACGCUCAUGCACGAAAGCGUGGGGAGCAAACAGG
rnacentral:rRNA from 1 species